ACAAAAUCACGUCAAAUAAACAUAAAAUUCAACAACCUAGCGUUAAUAAAAUGUAUUUAACUUGAGACAACGUGAUUCAAUUUAGUCAGACUAAUCUCCCGCCGAAGAGGGACUAGCGAGACCAGGAGAUCACGCGAGACACUGGCGAGAUUACGGAAGAUCACGCGAGAUCACGCGAGAUCCUGUGUCUGGGAAAACUUCAAACGGUUCUUUCAAGAGAAGCGGGAAGAUUCCUGAUUUGGAUCUGCUUAAUUUGAAAAAGGUAAGAUUCAGUCUAUUUUCAUCCGUCUAAAUCAAAAUAAAAAUCGAAAUAAAAAGAUGCAAAUUAAAAUCAUCAGACUUUUUAAAA